GAAAAAAUCUAGAGAUAUCAUCAUUUUUCUUCAGCAAAAACGCCAUAGGAGGUUUGGAAGUUACUGGUUUUUCAUAUUUUGACAUAUGGUUUUUGGCUUUCAAAAGGGAAGAAAAUCGGCUGAAGGAGAAGGAAAGGUUAAAGGAAGGCUUGGGGAAGGUUUCGAAAACGGCGCCGUUCCAAACAAAGAAGGUCCGCGCGUCGACCCGCUGGGUACCCGGAUCCGCGCCUUCUUUGUUUAAAUGGCAUAUUUGCACGUUAGAUCCCCCCUUUGCAUGAGUCUUCGAUUUGUGUUCAGUUGGCUUAUUUUUUAUUUCGCAAUUUAGCAUGUUAAUUUGUGCCUCUUUUCAUUUUAAUCCGCGGUUCAGAAAAGCGUUGUGGUGAUGGGGUAUUUUUAAUACCAGUCCCUGCACAUUUCAUAGGCGUGACACAUUGACCCUAUUUUGCAAUUGUUUUAUUUGUAAAUGGAUUCUCUGAUUUUAAUUUUGUUACAAUUAAAUCUUGUCAUCAUUAUUUUAUUUACUGUACAUAAAUCUUAGUUUUACAA